rnacentral:rRNA from 1 species
GAUGAACGCUGGCGGCGUGCCUAAUACAUGCAAGUCGAGCGAACAGACGAGGAGCUUGCUCCUCUGACGUUAGCGGCGGACGGGUGAGUAACACGUGGAUAACCUACCUAUAAGACUGGGAUAACUUCGGGAAACCGGAGCUAAUACCGGAUAAUAUAUUGAACCGCAUGGUUCAAUAGUGAAAGACGGUUUUGCUGUCACUUAUAGAUGGAUCCGCGCCGCAUUAGCUAGUUGGUAAGGUAACGGCUUACCAAGGCAACGAUGCGUAGCCGACCUGAGAGGGUGAUCGGCCACACUGGAACUGAGACACGGUCCAGACUCCUACGGGAGGCAGCAGUAGGGAAUCUUCCGCAAUGGGCGAAAGCCUGACGGAGCAACGCCGCGUGAGUGAUGAAGGUCUUCGGAUCGUAAAACUCUGUUAUGAGGGAAGAACAAAUGUGUAAGUAACUAUGCCCGUCUUGACGGUACCUAAUCAGAAAGCCACGGCUAACUACGUG